rnacentral:rRNA from 1 species
AACGAACGCUGGCGGCAGGCCUAACACAUGCAAGUCGAACGCCGUAGCAAUACGGAGUGGCAGACGGGUGAGUAACACGUGGGAACGUACCCUUCGGUUCGGGAUAACUCAGGGAAACUUGAGCUAAUACCGGAUACGUCCGAGAGGAGAAAGAUUUAUCGCCGAGGGAUCGGCCCGNGUCUGAUUAGCUUGUUGGUGAGGUAACGGCUCACCAAGGCGACGAUCAGUAGCUGGUCGAGAGAUGAUCAGCCACAUUGGGACUGAGACACGGCCCAAACUCCUACGGGAGGCAGCAGUGGGGAAUAUUGGACAAUGGGCGCAAGCCUGAUCCAGCCAUGCCGCGUGAGUGAUG